rnacentral:lncRNA from 1 species
UCUUUGGCUUCUUGUCUUUCUUCUGCUUCUUAGCAGGCUUCUUUUUCUUCCAAGUAGACUUUCUCUUGGAACCAGAAGUCAACUCAGCAGCAAAGACAUUGCCCCUUGAACCUUUCAAGGCUCCCUCAGCAGUUACCAACAUGUUGAUUAGUUCAGUCUUAGUGCAUUCAAUCUUAUUCAUGUGGUAGUUUACUAUAAACUGACCAAAUGAAUC